GAUCAUGGCUCAGGACGAACGCUGGCGGCAUGCCUAAUACAUGCAAGUCGAACGAACUUCGGUUGAAAUAGGUGCUUGCAUCAUUAUUUACAAUGGAGUGAGUGGCGAACUGGUGAGUAACACGUGGGAAAUCUGCCCAGAAGCAGGGGAUAACACCUGGAAACAGAUGCUAAUACCGCAUAACAACAAAGUCCGCAUGGUUUUAGUUUGAAAGAUGGCUUCGGCUAUCACUUUUGGAUGGUCCCGCGGCGUAUUAGUUAGAUGGUGAGGUAAAGGCUCACCAUGGCAAUGAUACGUAGCCGACCUGAGAGGGUAAUCGGCCACAUUGGGACUGAGACACGGCCCAAACUCCUACGGGAGGCAGCAGUAGGGAAUCUUCCACAAUGGACGAAAGUCUGAUGGAGCAACGCCGCGUGAGUGAAGAAGGGUUUCGGCUCGUAAAACUCUGUUGUUAAAGAAGAACAUCUUUGAGAGUAACUGUUCAGGGGUUGACGGUAUUUAACCAGAAAGCCACGGCUAACUACGUGCCAGCAGCCGCGGUAAUACGUAGGUGGCAAGCGUUGUCCGGAUUUAUUGGGCGUAAAGCGAGCGCAGGCGGUUUUUUAAGUCUGAUGUGAAAGCCUUCGGCUCAACCGAAGAAGUGCAUCGGAAACUGGGAAACUUGAGUGCAGAAGAGGACAGUGGAACUCCAUGUGUAGCGGUGAAAUGCGUAGAUAUAUGGAAGAACACCAGUGGCGAAGGCGGCUGUCUGGUCUGUAACUGACGCUGAGGCUCGAAAGUAUGGGUAGCAAACAGGAUUAGAUACCCUGGUAGUCCAUGCCGUAAACGAUGAAUGCUAAGUGUUGGAGGGUUUCCGCCCUUCAGUGCUGCAGCUAACGCAUUAAGCAUUCCGCCUGGGGAGUACGGCCGCAAGGUUGAAACUCAAAGGAAUUGACGGGGGCCCGCACAAGCGGUGGAGCAUGUGGUUUAAUUCGAAGCUACGCGAAGAACCUUACCAGGUCUUGACAUCCUAUGCAAAUCUAAGAGAUUAGACGUUCCCUUCGGGGACAUGGAGACAGGUGGUGCAUGGUUGUCGUCAGCUCGUGUCGUGAGAUGUUGGGUUAAGUCCCGCAACGAGCGCAACCCUUAUUAUCAGUUGCCAGCAUUAAGUUGGGCACUCUGGUGAGACUG
rnacentral:rRNA from 2 species